rnacentral:piRNA from 1 species
UGCACCGGCCAAGUUAAAUUGUUGGGCAGU